rnacentral:rRNA from 1 species
GACGAACGCUGGCGGCGUGCUUAAUACAUGCAAGUCGAGCGAGGCCUUGGAAUUGGAGUCCUUCGGGAUGAAGAGUCCUUGGCCUAGCGGCGGACGGGUGAGUAACGCGUGGGCAACCUACCCCAAAGUCCGGGAUAACAGUGGGAAACCGCUGCUAAUACCGGAUGACUUUACCUGAGGGCAUCCUCGGGUAAAGAAAGGUUACGCUUUGGGAUGGGCCCGCGUCCCAUUAGCUAGUUGGUGAGGUAACGGCUCACCAAGGCGACGAUGGGUAGCCGGCCUGAGAGGGUGAACGGCCACACUGGGACUGAGACACGGCCCAGACUCCUACGGGAGGCAGCAGUAGGGAAUAUUGCGCAAUGGGCGGAAGCCUGACGCAGCGACGCCGCGUGAGCGAAGAAGGCCUUCGGGUCGUAAAGCUCUGUCCUUGGGGAAGAAGGCGAAAGCUUGACGGUACCCAAGAAGAAAGCCCCGGCUAACUACGUG